rnacentral:rRNA from 1 species
UUGAACGCUGGCGGCAUGCCUUACACAUGCAAGUCGAACGGCAGCACGGGGGCAACCCUGGUGGCGAGUGGCGAACGGGUGAGUAAUACAUCGGAACGUACCCUGAAGUGGGGGAUAACGUAGCGAAAGUUACGCUAAUACCGCAUAUUCUAUGAGUAGGAAAGCAGGGGAUCGCAAGACCUUGCGCUUUAGGAGCGGCCGAUGUCGGAUUAGCUAGUUGGUGAGGUAAAGGCUCACCAAGGCGACGAUCCGUAGCGGGUCUGAGAGGAUGAUCCGCCACACUGGGACUGAGACACGGCCCAGACUCCUACGGGAGGCAGCAGUGGGGAAUUUUGGACAAUGGGCGCAAGCCUGAUCCAGCCAUUCCGCGUGAGUGAAGAAGGCCUUCGGGUUGUAAAGCUCUUUCGGCCGGGAAGAAAUCGCAUCUCCUAAUACGGGGUGUGGAUGACGGUACCGGAAGAAGAAGCACCGGCUAACUACGU